UUAAGUCCCGCAACGAGCGCAACCCUUGUCAUUAGUUGCUACGAAAGGGCACUCUAAUGAGACUGCCGGUGACAAAACCGGAGGAAGGUGGGGAUGACGUCAAGUCCUCAUGGCCCUUAUAGGUGGGGCUACACACGUCAUACAAUGGCUGGUACAAAGGGUUGCCAACCCGCGAGGGGGAGCCAAUCCCAUAAAGCCAGCCGUAGUCCGGAUCGCAGUCUGCAACUCGACUGCGUGAAGUCGGAAUCGCUAGUAAUCGUGGAUCAGCAUGUCACGGUGAAUACGUUCCCGGGUCUU
rnacentral:rRNA from 1 species